rnacentral:rRNA from 1 species
GAUGAACGCUAGCGGCAGGCCUAAUACAUGCAAGUCAAGGGGACCAGCAAUGGUCACCGGCGGACGGGUGCGUAACGCGUACACAACCUACCCUUAAGAGGGGGAUAGCGGCGGGAAACUGCCGGUAAUACCCCAUGGUAUUAUUGAAUCGCCUGGUUUGAUAAUUAAAGUUCCGGCGCUUAAGGAUGGGUGUGCGUCUGAUUAGCUAGUUGGCGAGGUAACGGCUCACCAAGGCGACGAUCAGUAGGGGGUGUGAGAGCAUGGCCCCCCACACGGGUACUGAGACACGGACCCGACUCCUACGGGAGGCAGCAGUAAGGAAUAUUGGUCAAUGGACGGAAGUCUGAACCAGCCAUCCCGCGUGCAGGAUGAAGGUCCUAUGGAUUGUAAACUGCUUUUAGCAGAGACGAAACGCUUCCAUUGAUGGGAGUCUGACGGUAUCUGCAGAAUAAGCACCGGCUAACUCCGUG